AAUUUGGUGGUUUAGUGGUUAGAGCGCCCGCCUGCUUCAGAUGCUGAAGGUCGUAGGUUAGAUUCCCGACCGAGAUAU